rnacentral:lncRNA from 1 species
GAAAACAAAAGGCUAGCUAGAGAGAGGAGGAGAAAAUUAACACGUAUAAUAAUAUAACUUAGUUUAUUCAUCUCAUAAUCUCUGCAUUUUGCAAGGAGAUCGAAACUGAACAAAACAUACACAAUGACAGAAAUAAAAUAUAGGGCAAACAAUAUCAAUAGCUUAGAUAACAUGAAGCUACAAGAACUUCGCCUCCUGUGGGGCUUAUUUUUUACUCUUUUUGUUUUUCUUCUUCUUCUUCUUCUUUUCUCAUUGCCUCUCGAAAAUGGAAAAAGCCUUUCUUUUAGCUCAACAUUCUGCUUUUCCUGCAUAAGAAUAUACAUUGUGUGAUUAGGUUCUUAGUAAUAUCAAAAGAUACUGAAAAUUCUGAACAUCUAGUGACUAAUAAAUGAAGCUAAGAAAAUAAAAGGCAGAGAGCGCAGUUCUUUAUAAUUUAUAUUAUAUUAAUGUUUUGCAUGAAGACAGUUAUGCAAUUUUGCUUUGCAUUCUUGACAUAUCAUUAUGAAAAUGUCUUAAUUAAUUUGGCUUUAUUACCUUCAACUUUGUGAUGUCACUUCUUAGUAAUGGUAGGGAGGAGGAGGAGAAGCGUAAACAUAGGGGUGGUGUGGUGGUGGUGACUUGUAAACUGGAGUUGGUGGUGGAGGUGACUUGUAAACUGGUGCAGGAUGAUACGGUGUUGGUGAAGGAUGGUAUGGCUUCACCGGUGACGGUGGUGACUUGUAAACUGGUGCAGGAUGAUACGGUGUUGGUGAAGGAUGGUAUGGCUUCACCGGUGGUGGUGGUGACUUGUAAACUGGAGUUGGUGGUGGUGGGGACUUGUAAACUGGGGUGUGUGGAGGAUAGUAUGGCUUCUUGGGUGGUGGUGGUGACUUGUAAACGGGAGUUGGUGGUGGUGGCGACUUGUAAACCGGGGUAUGUGGGGGAUAGUAUGGCUUCUUGGGUGGUGGUGGUGACUUGUAAACGGGAGUUGGUGGUGGUGGUGACUUGUAAACGGGAGUGUGUGGGGGAUAGUAUGGCUUCUUGGGUGGUGGUGGCGACUUAUAAACUGGAGUUGGUGGUGGUGGCGACUUGUAAACCGGGGUGUGUGGGGGAUAGUAUGGCUUCUUGGGUGGUGAUGGUGACUUGUAAACGGGAGUGUGUGGAGGGUAGUAUGGCUUCUUGGGUGGUGGUGGUGAUUUGUAAAUCGAAGUUGGUGGUGGUGGCGACUUGUAAACUGGAGUGUGUGGAGGGUAGUAUGGCUUCUUGGGUGGUGGUGGAGACUUAUAUACAGGGUGGUGGGGUGGUGAUGGAUAGACAUGCACUGGUGGAGGAGGAGACUUGUAGAGGUAUGGUUCCUUAGGUGGUGGUGGAGAUGAGUAUUGAUAAUUUGCUGAGCUUUCAGAAGCUAAGCUCAGCGACACUAAAACCACUAAAAGAGAGGCAAAUAGAGAGGCCAU